GGAUGCGUGGCAGAGCGGUUGAAUGCACCGAGUUGGAAGCUCGGCAGACCUCGCAAGGGGUCUCGAAGGUUCGAAUCCUUCCGCAUCCG
rnacentral:tRNA from 1 species